UUGGUCUAAAAACCAAUACCAGUUCGGUAGCAAGCAAUACCGUAUUAUACUGAAGUGAGCACGCUUGGUAUCAACCUUUCUCUGGGUGUAUGAAGGCUAAAGCUCCAACACGAAAAAGUCGAGGUCACUUGCAGCAGUAUAAUACGAGAGCAAAGUUUGAAAGGAUAGCAAUGGAUGCGGCUGGACCAUUCCCAAUCAACGACUCAGGAAACCGUUAUGUGCAAGUGGUCAUGGACUAUUUCAGCAAAUGGCCAGUGGUUUGCCAUCCCAAAUUAACACCAAAUGUGCUCAUUUCAAUACCAUACUGUAUUGAUAUUUAAGCAAUACCGUAUGGUAUGGAUGACAUGUAAAAUGAUUAGUACUGUUUGGUACUAGCUUUACACCCGAACUAGUAUUGGAUUCAAUACCAAUGUGUUACUUUUGCACCAAGUUGUUAUUGUUUUAAGUACCAAACCUUAAUGAAUAUUCCAACUCAAGGCGGAUCUAUAAAGCUGGUCUCACGCGAACAGCAGUUAACAGCCGGCCAAGUUUGACGGUAUUAAGAUGUAAAAUUUUUGUUUGCAUCCUCUUUGUUGUCAUCUUCUUUCUCGCAUAUUCUCUGCUCACGUACGCACAAAACGUCGAUCGGCUUGAUGGCAAGAUGGCGGAAUGCACCAUAUGAUUUGUGGUUGUUGUACAAAUGAGGCCACCUUUAUUUGUUUCGCCAUGAUUCAACCCUUAAUGAACCAAAAUAAAAGCCAUUUAAAAUAAUUUUAA
rnacentral:sRNA from 1 species